rnacentral:tRNA from 1 species
UGGUAAAAGAGAUAAAUUCUCCUAAAUAAAUUUACAAUUUAUCGCCUACUUCUCAGCCAUUUUACC